rnacentral:rRNA from 1 species
UUAGCUUGUUGGCGGGGUAACGGCCCACCAAGGCGACGAUCAGUAGGGGUUCUGAGAGGAAGGUCCCCCACAUUGGAACUGAGACACGGUCCAAACUCCUACGGGAGGCAGCAGUGAGGAAUAUUGGUCAAUGGACGAGAGUCUGAACCAGCCAAGUAGCGUGCAGGAUGACGGCCCUAUGGGUUGUAAACUGCUUUUAUAAGGGAAUAAAGUGAGCCUCGUGAGGCUUUUUGCAUGUACCUUAUGAAUAAGGACCGGCUAAUUCCGUGCCAGCAGCCGCGGUAAUACGGAAGGUCCGGGCGUUAUCCGGAUUUAUUGGGUUUAAAGGGAGCGUAGGCCGGAGAUUAAGCGUGUUGUGAAAUGUAGACGCUCAACGUCUGCACUGCAGCGCGAACUGGUUUCCUGGAGUACGCACAAAGUGGGCGGAAUUCGUGGUGUAGCGGUGAAAUGCUUAGAUAUCACGAAGAACUCCGAUUGCGAAGGCAGCUCACUGGAGCGCAACUGACGCUGAAGCUCGAAAGUGCGGGUAUCGAACAGGAUUAGAUACCCUGGUAGUCCGCGCGGUAAACGAUGGAUGCCCGCUGUUGGGCCAACUGGUUCAGCGGCCAAGCGAAAGCAUUAAGCAUCCCACCUGGGGAGUACGCCGGCAACGGUGAAACUCAAAGGAAUUGACGGGGGCCCGCACAAGCGGAGGAACAUGUGGUUUAAUUCGAUGAUACGCGAGGAACCUUACCCGGGCUUGAAUUGCAGAGGAAGGAUUUGGAGACAAUGACGCCCUUCGGGGCCUCUGUGAAGGUGCUGCAUGGUUGUCGUCAGCUCGUGCCGUGAGGUGUCGGCUUAAGUGCCAUAACGAGCGCAACCCCUCUCCAUAGUUGCCAUCAGGUGAAGCUGGGCACUCUGUGGACACUGCCACCGUAAGGUGCGAGGAAGGUGGGGAUGACGUCAAAUCAGCACGGCCCUUACGUCCGGGGCUACACACGUGUUACAAUGGCAGGUACAGAGAGCCGGUCGUAUGCAAAUACGAUCCAAUCCUUAAAGCCUGUCUCAGUUCGGACUGGGGUCUGCAACCCGACCCCACGAAGCUGGAUUCGCUAGUAAUCGCGCAUCAGCCAUGGCGCGGUGAAUACGUUCCCGGGCCUUGUACACACCGCCCGUCAAGCCAUGAAAGCCGGGGGCGCCUGAAGUCCGUGACCGCAAGGAGCGGCCUAGGGCGAAACUGGUAAUUGGGGCUAAGUCGUAACAAGGUA